rnacentral:rRNA from 1 species
GAAUUUUAUAAAAAAAAUAAUUUAAUAAAUUUAAUUUUUAUUUAAUUGGGAGGAUUAUUAAAUUUAUUUAACUUUAAUAUAUUAUAAAUCAUAAAUUAAUGAAUAUUUUUUAUAAAAUAAUUAUAAUAAAUUAAUAUAAAAUUAAUUACCUUAGGGAUAACAGCAUAAAAUUAUUUCUUAGUUCAUAUAUAAAAUAAUAUUUGU